AUAUAUAUAAAAAAAAAUUAUCUCCCAUCUUCUCUUGACCCCUGACCCCUCAUUAACCCUUCCUUACCAUCUUAAAAAUUCCCAAGUAUUUCACAGGUAAACAGUUGAGGAUUAGGUUGUUUGAGGAGCCCCCCUCUUACUGCACAGCCUCGUAAUUCUUACCUAAGCCUCACAGCCUCCUACUGUGACCACUUUGUCUCCCCCUCCCCCUUUCAGUCUGAGGAUUGGCUCUUUCAGAGAAAGUAAUGGGGCUGGAGAGGCGGCUCAGCUAAGAGCCUUGUUUGCUCUCAGGCACACCCAUCUUCCAUUGGAAGCUCCCACGUGGUGGCUUAGUCCCAGAGGCUCAGAUGCCCUCUUCUGAACUCAGCAGGCACCAGACAUGCCCAUAGGGCACACAAAAGGAUCUCACUCUAUAACCCCAAUUGGCCUCGCCCUGUAUCCAUCCUCCUGCCUUGUUCUUCUGAAUAUCAGCCUCACAGGUCAUAUGAAAGAUCUUGGGACACUCGUGGAAGGUAGCCAAGUCGCUUCAUCAGCACCAAGCGUCUUGGCUGGAUUAGGUAAGAGAGUGGGAGGCUUCGGGGCACAAAAUUCCAACGGGAGCCAUUAAAGGAUGCUGCUGGGGCUUCAUGAAACCGGGGGCUUGGCAUUGCUCUCGGAGAGCUGAGAGCAUUCACGUGUGUCCUCGAGCCGACAGAGGACAUCCGGCAGGGGAGGUCUGGGGGAGGGGGACCAGGAAGCUGUUUGAUUAUCCAGCUGUUUUAGUCUAAAUAUGUAGCACAUCUGGUGGCCUAGAAAUUGCCUGUGAUUUCAUAGUCACUGACUUGCUGUCUGGCUUGAGCUUGGCUCUAGGGAAGUGGGGGAGGAAGGGGUGAAGGAAGGGGGGCGAUCCAGAA
rnacentral:sRNA from 1 species